rnacentral:rRNA from 1 species
GAUGAACGCUGGCGGCGUGCCUAAUACAUGCAAGUCGAGCGAACGGACGAGAAGCUUGCUUCUCUGAUGUUAGCGGCGGACGGGUGAGUAACACGUGGAUAACCUACCUAUAAGACUGGGAUAACUUCGGGAAACCGGAGCUAAUACCGGAUAAUAUUUUGAACCGCAUGGUUCAAAAGUGAAAGACGGUCUUGCUGUCACUUAUAGAUGGAUCCGCGCUGCAUUAGCUAGUUGGUAAGGUAACGGCUUACCAAGGCAACGAUGCAUAGCCGACCUGAGAGGGUGAUCGGCCACACUGGAACUGAGACACGGUCCAGACUCCUACGGGAGGCAGCAGUAGGGAAUCUUCCGCAAUGGGCGAAAGCCUGACGGAGCAACGCCGCGUGAGUGAUGAAGGUCUUCGGAUCGUAAAACUCUGUUAUUAGGGAAGAACAUAUGUGUAAGUAACUGUGCACAUCUUGACGGUACCUAAUCAGAAAGCCACGGCUAACUACGUGCCAGCAGCCGCGGUAAUGCGUAGGCGGCAAGCGUUAUCCGGAAUUAUUGGGCGUAAAGCGCGCGUAGGCGGUUUUUUAAGUCUGAUGUGAAAGCCCACGGCUCAACCGUGGAGGGUCAUUGGAAACUGGAAAACUUGAGUGCAGAAGAGGAAAGUGGAAUUCCAUGUGUAGCGGUGAAAUGCGCAGAGAUAUGGAGGAACACCAGUGGCGAAGGCGACUUUCUGGUCUGUAACUGACGCUGAUGUGCGAAAGCGUGGGGAUCAAACAGGAUUAGAUACCCUGGUAGUCCACGCCGUAAACGAUGAGUGCUAAGUGUUAGGGGGUUUCCGCCCCUUAGUGCUGCAGCUAACGCAUUAAGCACUCCGCCUGGGGAGUACGACCGCAAGGUUGAAACUCAAAGGAAUUGACGGGGACCCGCACAAGCGGUGGAGCACGUGGUUUAAUUCGAAGCAACGCGAAGAACCUUACCAAAUCUUGACAUCCUUUGACAACUCUAGAGAUAGAGCUUUCCCCUUCGGGGGACAAAGUGACAGGUGGUGCAUGGUUGUCGUCAGCUCGUGUCGUGAGAUGUUGGGUUAAGUCCCGCAACGAGCGCAACCCUUAAGCUUAGUUGCCAUCAUUAAGUUGGGCACUCUAAGUUGACUGCCGGUGACAAACCGGAGGAAGGUGGGGAUGACGUCAAAUCAUCAUGCCCCUUAUGAUUUGGGCUACACACGUGCUACAAUGGACAAUACAAAGGGCAGCGAAACCGUGAGGUCAAGCAAAUCCCAUAAAGUUGUUCUCAGUUCGGAUUGUAGUCUGCAACUCGACUACAUGAAGCCGGAAUCGCUAGUAAUCGUAGAUCAGCAUGCUACGGUGAAUACGUUCCCGGGUCU